CAGGAAGCGGCCAUGUUUGCUGUGGGCCAGAAGGGAACUCACUUCCUGCCUCCUACUUGGAGGCUUCUUGGAGAAGGCUGCUUCCUUCCCCGCUGACUCUGCCUGGCUUGGCGAAGUCCCUUAGUGGAGGGAGCUCCCUUCCUCCCUGGAGGAGCUCGUUGCACCUCGACAGAUGAAGAGUGACUAGAGGAGAGCUGGAGUCAAAUGCUCACUUAUCCGCAAAGCUAACUGGGUGACCUCGGACCACUCACUCUCCCACAGCCUGCUGAGAAAGAGAGGAAAGGAAUAUAUGUUGAUCUCAGAACUGGGAAGGAAGCUGUAUUGCAGUUGGCUGCCAUAGACGAGGGUCCGGCCAUCUCAUCAACUGACUUUUGGCUGGCAGUGGCACUACCUGGAAAUCAUGGAGCUGGAGUGAGACUGGCCGGAAGAGGUUGUAGCAGCACUGAGCUGAGAAAAUCCACUGUGACUUGAUUCAAGGCUGCUCAUGGACCCUCUGCAAAAGAGACAGAUAGUAAGUUCUUCUGCUGUACGGUAUAGAGAUUUGGGAACCAGCCCACCUUCUGGAACUUCACACUUCAGAGAUUUAAUUAAGGUGGAGGGGAGAGAAAAAUCAGAAUUAGAUCUCUACUCAAACAGAUCACACCUCAAAAAGAAUCUGCUCAGAAGUAAAACUCUUAAAGGAUGUCUUCCAAACACUUUUGUAUUUUCUUCACACCUCCUCAAUCCUUCUUCGUUAAUAGAGAGAACCUAAACACACACACACAAAAAUGAGAAACAAGGAUACUGCAGAGAUGCUGUAGCAGAAUAGCCAUGGCGAAAAUCGGGACAAAGAGAACUGCUUCUAUCAUCUCUGUUUUACCUUUGAAAGGAGAUAAUCAUCCCGUUCCUGCUUUCCCAAUUCACUGAUUCUACAGACUUUUCUGAUGUUCCCCUAACUUAAUUUCUGCAUUAUUUUUCUGCUUUAUGUUUGUCAGCAAUAAUAGAAAAAGCUACCCAUC